AUUGAACGCUGGCGGCAGGCCUAACACAUGCAAGUCGAGCGGGGUUUUCGGACCUAGCGGCGGACGGGUGAGUAAUGCGUAGGAAGCUACCCGAUAGAGGGGGAUACCAGUUGGAAACGACUGUUAAUACCGCAUAAUGUCUACGGACCAAAGUGUGGGACCUUCGGGCCACAUGCCAUCGGACGCGCCUACGUGGGAUUAGCUAGUUGGUGAGGUAAUGGCUCACCAAGGCGACGAUCCCUAGCUGGUUUGAGAGGAUGAUCAGCCACACUGGAACUGAGACACGGUCCAGACUCCUACGGGAGGCAGCAGUGGGGAAUAUUGGACAAUGGGCGCAAGCCUGAUCCAGCCAUGCCGCGUGUGUGGAGAAGGCCUUCGGGUUGUAAAGCACUUUCAGUAGGGAGGAAGCGUUGUGUGUUAAUAGUACACAGCGUUGACGUUACCUACAGAAGAAGCACCGGCUAACUCUGUGCCAGCCGCCGCGGUAACAC
rnacentral:rRNA from 1 species